UACGUAGGUGGCAAGCGUUAUCCGGAUUUAUUGGGCGUAAAGCGAGCGCAGGCGGUUGCUUAGGUCUGAUGUGAAAGCCUUCGGCUUAACCGAAGAAGUGCAUCGGAAACCGGGCGACUUGAGUGCAGAAGAGGACAGUGGAAUUCCUAGUGUAGCGGUGGAAUGCGUAGAUAUUAGGAGGAACACCAGAGGCGAAGGCGGCUAACUGGACUGUAACUGACGCUGAGGCACGAAAGCGUGGGGAGCAAAUAGG
rnacentral:rRNA from 1 species